CAUUUCAACAAGGAACAAAAUAGACUAUGGUGUAUUACGACUCGUCGACGCGACGUCGACGUCGAAUAACGUGUACAAGCGUUAUUGCGUUGGCAACUACAACGCGAAAAGGAUGUCUGUGCUGUGAUUGCGAAACUUUUUGAAACGAAUUGCGCGGUAAAUCGAUGAAAUUGAAAAUUGAAUUUAAACGAGUUUCAUUUUGCUGGCAUUUCACAAACUCAGAAAAAUGCUGUUUUCCGUAGAGGAAACGAACAGAUACAUGGAUGCGUUUUGUAAUUCAACCCUUUGGAAUACCACAUUAACAUGGUAUCAAGACACACCUGAUUUCACACCAUGUUUCAAGAGAAGUGUGUUGGUGUGGAUUCCAUGCUUUUUUCUAUGGAGUUGCCUGCCUUUUGAAGUAUACACUUUGAAAAAUAGCAAAUCGCGAGACAUACCUUUGACGAUGUUCAAUAUAAAUAAACUAACGUCUUGCAUCAUACUGAUAACGUUAUCUGUCGUACAUUUCGUGCGAAAUGUAUUAAUGAGCGAUUCUUCAACUCUGGUUGACAUUUACUCACCUGUAAUUCAAUUUUUCACUUUUAUUUUAUUUCUCACACUGACAUGGAUGAAUUUCAAGAUGGGCAUACGAUCAUCCGGGUCCUUAUUUACAUUCACAUUACUCUUGGUGAUUUGUGGAGCUCCAGAAUUACGCGGUGAAAUAAUUAUAAUUCAAAAUCUUUCGGCGGUUUACGAAGAGCAAAGGCUGCAAUUCAUCCUGUACACCGUUUACUACGCGACGGUGUUGCUGUCAUUUUUCUUGAAUUGCUUCGUGGACCCCAAGCCAAGAUACGUAAUGUGCUCAAAUGUGCCAUCACGUAAUAAAGAAAACCCAGAGGAAAAUGCAUCUUUCUGCUCUCGACUCUAUUAUUGCUGGUUUGAUCGUGUUGUUUGGAAAGCAUACAAAGAACCUUUGCGAGAUGAUGACUUUUGGGAUUUGGAUCAAGAAUACACCAGCGCCGUUGUGGUGCCAAAAUUUGAAAAACGAUGGAAUGCUUUGAUAGAGAAAAAUAAGAAACUGGAAAUUAGUACAAAUGUUUCAUCGAAUCGUGCUUCAGAAAAUAAAUACGAAGUGGAGUACAGAACUCACCCACAAAAAAGUUCUUCUUUUGUGGUACCGUUAUUUAGAAUUUAUUUACUUCAGUAUGUCGUCAUCAUGUUUUAUCUGCUGGUCGAGAAUGGUCUUCUCUUCGUCAGUCCUCAAGUUCUCAACUCAUUGAUUUCAUUCGUAAGUGGAGAUGAACCAUCAUGGAAAGGAUACGUUUACUCAGCCCUCUUAUUGGUAACAGCUUUGGGCCAAUCACUCAUAUUAUCCAUUUACAAUACCAAGUUAUUACUCAUUCAAAUGGUAGUUAGAUCUACAAUGGUAGAAAUCGUUUAUAAAAAGACAUUAAAAAUAUCCAACCAAGCAAGAAAAAAUUUCACUACAGGUGAAAUAGUGAAUUUGAUGUCCAGCGAUAUUCGUAAAUUUACAAACAUCAUAUGGAAUUUCAACGUAAUAUGGUCAGCUCCCUUUCAAAUCAUAGGAGUAUUUUAUUUUCUCUGGACAAUUCUAGGGCCGAGUGCUUUUACUGGAAUAAUAGUUAUAUUGGCAUUAAUACCGUUAAACAGCUACUUGUCAUCAAAUUUGAAAAUUUUACAAAGAUUACGUCUCAAACAUAAAGAUAGACGUAUUCGAAUCAUGAGCGAAAUUUUAACGGGAAUAAAGGUAAUAAAAUUAUACGCAUGGGAGAAUAAUUUCGAAAAACAAAUUCAAGAUAUACGUAGCGAAGAACUGAGAACGUUAAGAAAACAAAUAGGCUUAAACAUUACUUUAAUUUUGCUAUGGAAUAUUAUACCCUAUCUGAUUUCUUUGGUCACAUUUGCAACGUACGUGCUUUCCUCUGAUCAGCAUGUGUUAGAUCCUCAAAAAGUAUUUGUCUCCGUAUCGUUGUUUAAUAUUUUAAAAAAUCCUAUGUCAAUGUUGCCACAAGUUGUUUCUGAAAUGAUGCAAGCCGGUGUUUCCAUCACUCGAAUAAAUAAAUUCCUGAAUGCUGAAGAAUUGGAUCAUCACGCUGUUACUCAUAAAACUAAUGUUGGAUCAUUGGCCAUAAAAAAUGGCACGUUUUCGUGGACAAGAUCAGACGAAUCACCUCAACUGGAGCACAUAAAUUUAGAAAUAAAACAAGGUGCUUUGGUGGCCAUUGUUGGACCAGUAGGUUCUGGAAAAAGUUCACUAAUUUCGGCAUUUCUGGGCGAAAUGUACAAGCUUACUGGCACAAUAGAUACAAAGGGUUCAAUAGCAUACGUUCCUCAGAUAUCGUGGAUUCGAAAUACAACCCUGAGAGAAAAUAUUACUUUGGGAUUUCCGAUAGAAGAAUCGUUUUAUAAAACAAUUAUCGAAUCGUGCGCUUUAACCCACGAUUUGAAAAUUUUACCAGGAGGCGAUUUAACUGAAAUUGGAGAAAAAGGAAUUAAUUUAAGCGGCGGACAAAAACAAAGAGUUAGCCUAGCACGAGCCAUUUGUUCAGAAGCAGAUAUAUAUUUCCUGGAUGAUCCUUUGAGUGCUGUUGAUGCUCAUGUAGGCAAUCAUAUUUUUCAGCAUGUGUUGGGUCCUGGUGGUAUGCUUGAAAAUAGAACUCGAGUCAUGACUACUCACAGUACCACUUUUUUAGCACAAGCAGAUCUCAUUGUCGUCAUGAAGAAUGGAACGAUUUCAGAAAUUGGUACACUUUCUCAGCUGUUGAACAAUAAUGGAAGUUUUGCGGAUUUUUUACGUAAUUAUUCCGCGGAAAAGGUUAUUGAAUCUGCUGCAAAUGAAAUGGAUUCAAAUGAAGUUUCUGUGUCAUCAAAAAAGUUUAAAACCAAAGACGAUUUUUUAGAAGAAAAUAAAACGGAACAAGAAUGCGGAUUUUCAAAGAUCUUCGUUCAGAACGAAGCAGUAACCAAACCAUUAAUUAAAAAGGAACACGUUGAAACAGGAUAUGUAAAAGGAAAAGUAUAUCAGCAUUUCAUAUCUUCCGUUGGUAUAUUUUUUCCUAUCGCAACCAUAGCUAUGUUUUUCUGUCUUCAAAGCGUCAUUGUGAGCUCCAAUUUUUGGUUAUCAAAGUGGUCAACUGAUGAGAGUGUUUCUCAAGACGGAAUACAACUCAUUGAUAAGAGGAAUUAUUAUUUAGGAUAUUAUGCCUUUUUUGGGUUGCUGCAAGCUAUUUUCACUAUUUGUGGCAAUUGCAUUCUGUUCAUUGGAUUUUUAAGAGCAUCGAGCAACAUGCAUGAAAAAUUAGUAUCAAAAGUACUGAAAUGGCCUUUGAGAAUUUUCAAUGUCACACCAUUGGGACGAAUAUUAAACCGAUUUGGCUACGACAUAGAUGUUGUGGAUUAUACUUUAGCCAUGAAGAGUAGUAAAUUGCUUCUAAAACUUGGAAUGAUUAUUUCAACACUGGUUGUCGUCAGUUACACAACGCCACCUUUUAUCUUCAUAUGCAUCAUAUUACUGAUUUUAUUCCGCUUGAUGCAGAAAUUUUACUUAGCAACAUCACAACAGCUGAAAAGAAUGGAAUCAAAUUCGAGAUCGCCGAUAUAUUCUCAUUUCGCUGAAACCGUAGCAGAUGGUCAACGCUGAGGUUGGAAAUAAUUGCAAACAUGGUGGUAUUUUUUUCAUCAUUAUUUGCAGUUAUUUAUAGAUAUCAACUCGACGCUGGACUUGUCGGCGUCUCUGUCAGUUAUUCAUUGCAAAUAACCAAAGGAUUUUCUUGGCUUAUGCGAAAUCUCACUGAAAUCGAAACUUUAAUGGUGGCUGUCGAGCGAAUCAAAGAAUUUGAAGAAUAUCCUAUCGAAGCAGCUUGGAAUUUAUUACCGAAAAACCUACCCAAUAAUUGGCCUCACAGUGGUGAAAUACAAUUAUUCGAUUAUAAAUUGCGAUACGAUAAAGAUUUAGAUUUAGUGUUGAAAGGAUUAACAUUUUCAGUCAAAGGUGGAGAAAAAGUAGGCCAAUGAUUUUUUCAUACACCCAUUUAGCGAAUAUCUUGCAGUUUUAAACAUAUUAUUGGUACCAUAAAAGUAAUUAAUU